GCAAGUUAACAGGGAUGUUUAUUAGGGAUCGGCAUUAUGAUUGAGUAGUCAAAUAAUUUAUGGUUAAGAAUUCUGUCAAUUUUGUGGAAUUGAUUAUUGAUUACUCUUGUCUUGAAGCAAAAAUGGCGUGCACUGUUUAUUCAGUCUCAACUAGUUUUGCUGUCUAAAGAAGGAUAACACAGUGCCAGCUAACAAAUCAACACUGGGAUCCUCCUGAGGCGAGGGGGAAAGAGGAUCAUAAUCUGAGUUUGUGCCCCUUUGAAUUACACAUCAUCCAAACACAAUAUUGACAGAGGAUCGAUUUCCCUCCCUCCUGUCCAACCACCGCUGCGACGUGACAAUCCGCGCUCAGUUGGCCCGGGUCACCGCGGAUGAGUGUCCUCGACUUGGUCGAGACAAUGGAAAGUAUUGAAGCACGGCUUAAUGAG